UCAUGGGUGGAAUAAACAUAUGGCAGGACCUUUACUUUACUGACCCCUGGGAAGAAGCAAGUAUAGGUCUCUGCAGGAAAGUAAUGGGAGUUACCAGAUCAGGGUGUUUUUAGACCAUGAUACCUGAUUGGCUGACAUCAUAGUGAUGGUAGGUUUAGGUAAGGGGGAUCAUUUUGGCUGCAUGAUUUAGAAACACCCAGCAGUUUGAAAACACCCACAAGGUCAUAAACGCCUGCUUUUGCUCUGCAGAGACCUAAGUCUCGGGAGAAGGGUCUGUCUGCAGACUGCAAGAGAGGGGCGUAACUUGAAGAGGGCGUAACUUGAACAAGGGGGCGUAACUUGAAGUUGUCCAAAUCACACAGAACCACGCGAGAUGUCAAAAUGAGAUGUUGUGUUGUGAGAUGUUGGGCAGUGUUCGAAACUGCAUACUCUCUAAGUAGGCACUAAAUUUCAAUUAGUACUAACUUAACGAGCGCUAAAAGAGUACAAACUCUACAGCCUGAAUGCGUGAAGUAUUGAUGCGAUUUGGAUAUCAUCCACUAUGUUGUCAUUAUCAUGUGACCUACGAUGUUAAAACAAGCACAACAACUUAAAAGAUAUGAGUGACAGGUUUAAUUAAUCUAACUGUAAUCUUAUGUAACCGGGUGGUAUUAGCGUGUGGGAUACGCAAGGAGUGCACUUCCCCUUUAAGAGAGCGUCUGCAAAUGAUGACGCACUAAGAGUGCGAUAUAGAGACAGACCGUUUAAGCAGUGCAGGAGAGAAGGCAAUAGUGUAUCAUCCUAGGGGAUUUGGAUGAACGGAGAUUGUGUGAUAUUGCACGUGACAAGUGUUCCGGAUUCUCAGAAUUCGGAAACGUUGAUCAGCUGGCAAGAAGAUCUUGCCUUUGGAGAAGACUGUUGAUUUUAUACUCUAAAAAUAUGGUGAACCCACAUCCUACUGCCAUCUCAACACAGCUGUGCCAAUUCUGCAGCUGCGCUGUGCUUCACAAUCUCACUAUUCUCAAUGGGGACAUUGUUGAGCAAGAGGAUGAGGAAGACCAUGACGACCCCUCUCUGAACCACACAACCUUGAAGCAAGUGCAGGGAACACGUGCGGGACAAUCUGGCUGCUGCUGUGUCUGCUCCAAACAUUUGUGUGCCUGCUCUCCAUGAGCAUGACUACACUCUAAAAAAUGCUGGG